AACGAACGCUGGCGGCAGGCUUAACACAUGCAAGUCGAACGCCCCGCAAGGGGAGUGGCAGACGGGUGAGUAACGCGUGGGAACAUACCCUUUUCUACGGAAUAGCUCUGGGAAACUGGAAUUAAUACCGUAUACGCCCUACGGGGGAAAGAUUUAUCGGGGAAGGAUUGGCCCGCGUUGGAUUAGCUAGUUGGUGGGGUAAAGGCCUACCAAGGCGACGAUCCAUAGCUGGUCUGAGAGGGUGAUCAGCCACAUUGGGACUGAGACACGGCCCAAACUCCUACGGGAGGCAGCAGUGGGGAAUAUUGGACAAUGGGCGCAAGCCUGAUCCAGCCAUGCCGCGUGAGUGAUGAAGGCCUUAGGGUUGUAAAGCUCUUUCACCGAUGAAGAUAAUGACAGUAGUCGGAGAAGAAGCCCCGGCUAACUUCGUGCCAGCCGCCGCAGUAACAC
rnacentral:rRNA from 1 species